rnacentral:misc_RNA from 1 species
GAUGAAGAACGCAGCGAAAUGCGAUAAGUAAUGUGAAUUGCAGAAUUCAGUGAAUCAUCGAAUCUUUGAACGCACCUUGCGCCCUUUGGCCAUUCCGAAGGGCAUGCCUGUUUGAGUAUCAUGAACACCUCAACUCCUCAUGGUCUUCUAUGAUGAGCCUGGACUUUGGGGGCUUGCUGGCCCAUUUGGUCAGCUCCUCUCAAAUGAAUCAGCCUACCAGUGUUUGGUGGCACCACAGGUGUGAUAACAAUCUACGCUUGAGGUUUUCCACCAGGCAACCUUCAGUAAUUGGGGUUCACUGGGGCUCACAAAUGUCUUUCUUCAGUGAGGACAGCUCUUUGAAUGUUUGAUCUCAAAUCAGGUAGGACUACCCGCUGAACUUAAGCAUAUCAAUAAGCGGAGGA